UACGUAGGGACCAAGCGUUGUUCGGAUUUACUGGGCGUAAAGGGCGCGUAGGCGGCGUGACAAGUCACUUGUGAAAUCUCUGAGCUUAACUCAGAACGGCCAAGUGAUACUGUUGUGCUAGAGUGCAGAAAGGGCAAUCGGAAUUCUUGGUGUAGCGGUGAAAUGCGUAGAUAUCAAGAGGAACACCUGAGGCGAAGGCGGGUUGCUAGGCUGACACUGACGCUGAGGCGCGAAAGCGUGGGGAGCAAACAGG
rnacentral:rRNA from 1 species